GAGGGUAUAGUUCAGUGGUAGAGUGUGUGCCUAGGAUGCAUGAGGUCAUGGGUUCAAUCCCCAGUACCUCCA
rnacentral:tRNA from 1 species